UACGAAGGGGGCUAGCGUUGCUCGGAAUCACUGGGCGUAAAGGGUGCGUAGGCGGGUCUUUAAGUCAGGGGUGAAAUCCUGGAGCUCAACUCCAGAACUGCCUUUGAUACUGAAGAUCUUGAGUUCGGGAGAGGUGAGUGGAACUGCGAGUGUAGAGGUGAAAUUCGUAGAUAUUCGCAAGAACACCAGUGGCGAAGGCGGCUCACUGGCCCAUUACUGACGCUGAGGCACGAAAGCGAUGGGGAGGCAAA
rnacentral:rRNA from 1 species